rnacentral:rRNA from 1 species
GACGAACGCUGGCGGCGUGCCUAAUACAUGCAAGUUGAGCGCUGAAGGUUGGUACUUGUACCAACUGGAUGAGCAGCGAACGGGUGAGUAACGCGUGGGGAAUCUGCCUUUGAGCGGGGGACAACAUUUGGAAACGAAUGCUAAUACCGCAUAAAAACUUUAAACACAAGUUUUAAGAUUGAAAGAUGCUAUUGCAUCACUCAAAGAUGAUCCCGUGUUGUAUUAGCUAGUUGGUGAGGUAAAGGCUCACCAAGGCGAUGAUACAUAGCCGACCUGAGAGGGUGAUCGGCCACAUUGGGACUGGGACACGGCCCAAACUCCUACGGGAGGCAGCAGUAAGGAAUCUUCGGCAAUAGACGAAAGUCUGACCGAGCAACGCCGCGUGAGUGAAGAAGGUUUUCGGAUCGUAAAACUCUGUUGGUAGAGAAGAACGUUGGUGAGAGUGGAAAGCUCAUCAAGUGACGGUAACUACCCAGAAAGGGACGGCUAACUACGUG